rnacentral:rRNA from 1 species
CGGGUGAGUAACGCGUGGGUAACCUGCCUCAUACAGGGGGAUAACAGUUAGAAAUGACUGCUAAUACCGCAUAAGCGCACAGUGCUGCAUGGCUCAGUGUGAAAAACUCCGGUGGUAUAAGAUGGACCCGCGUUGGAUUAGCUUGUUGGCAGGGUAACGGCCUACCAAGGCGACGAUCCAUAGCCGGCCUGAGAGGGUGAACGGCCACAUUGGGACUGAGACACGGCCCAGACUCCUACGGGAGGCAGCAUG